GUUAAAUACAUUGGAGUUAUCAGAAAACAAUAGUUAAUUAUCAACCCAUCUAGGAGCUCAGACAGCUUAAUAUAGCCCCAUGGAAAAUCCUCAUGUUAAAGCUUUCAGUAACACACGUGAGCAUUCUCCAUUUUAUUGUGAAUUAUUCAAUUAUACUUAACAAGUCCCGCUGCCAUCAUUGCAGUAUUGGACUUGAUUCCUGCACCCACCACCACCUGCCUUCCACUUGAGGUGGUGUGAACAAUGAGGUUGCGGAUGCAGUCAUAUCUCUGUCACACUAUCAUGCCCCAUCACUGCCCGACUGGGGUCUGUCUGGAUUAUCCUGUAAAGAACCCUUUGCUGUUGAAAAUGGAAAUUUCACUUGGGGUUGGCAUUCAAUUCUGAACACAUUUUUAGAGAAAGGCUUCAUGUGCCAAAGGACAGCAGGAUGCUUGUGCAGAUUCACAUAUAUAUUUAGUAUAAUACUUUGUAUAAUAGUUGUACGGUGAACACUAGACUUACCUUCGCCUUGAGCUUUGCCUGAAUGGUUGCAAUCUAAGUAUUGUAUUUAAGUGAAAGUCCUAAACAUCCCCUUAGAAAUGUAGAAGCAACUUAAAGAGAACCAGCAAUCAUACCAGCAAGAAAAUCUUUGAAAAGGUCAUAGAAAAAGGCCAGAUUUACUUAGAAGCCCCUCUGUGUUCAGUGGGUUUCCUCCUCUGAUUCAUGUGCAUAGGAUCCUUUCUCACUAUGGCAAAAUAUUACAGCACAUCGGUCGACUAUUUGAUUAGACAAAACAUUGUUUGUCACUUAGCUAAAGGUCGUAUAAUACAACUGUAACAGAAAUAAGCGUAUUGCAAAAAUCCACCAAAAUAAUUAAUGCUCGUUAUGCUAAAAAUAGCAUUCUGAAUUCUAUAAUCUUUAUUUUCAGCUAACUGUUGCUGAGCAACUAUAAGUGUCUAUGAACAACUUUAAAGAGAUUGAACAAGCCCUCAGAGCUAGUUUCGAUGGAGGCUUUGUCCUAGCUUUUGCUAUCAGGUGGUCCCUAUGGACAUUCUUGCUAGACUAAUUGACCACAAAUAUUAUUGCAUACUAAGUGGUCAAUUGACUGGCAUUCAAUGCUAGUAUAACAUAUAGAACUAGAAUUGGUUUAAACAAAGAUGAGGACAACAUUAGGAGGCAUAAUACACUCCUGGUAUUUAGCCCAGAUUGGGUAGCCAAUAUAGACAAUAUAUUACUUCAGAUACUAAUAUUGCACAGAUUGAAGCAAAUGGAUGCAUAAAAACUGGCUCCUUUUUGGAAAUAAAACAUUGUCAGGACCCAUAAGUUUGCUAAAAAGCUUUACUUGCAGAACUUCCUUCAAAACGUAACAAAAACAACAAAAAUACAUCCAAACAGUUCCAUAAGAUGCCAGUCCAAGGCAUAAACUCAGCAUCUUACAAAAUAUUACAUAAUUCCAACAGACCUAAAAGCAAAGGUUUUUUCUCUUCCCUACAGCCUCCAUUCUACCCUGCAUCCUGCCUGAGGCUGUUUAUCUGGAGAGCCAUUUACAUCUUCCAUUUACAUCUUCUGUUCUGGGAACAAAGACUAAAAGCAACUACCUUCAAAAUGGUGAUUUGCAAUUCAAUACAUCUCAUGUGAUCUAAGGUUAAACACUCAUGUGUCAGCUAGCAGAAAACAACAAUAGUUAAUUAUCGACUUAGUUAAAGCUCAGAGUUCCUUAGAAUACUACAGUGGAUUUCCACAAAAUUACCAAUACACAUUUAGGCAUUUUCCAUUUCAGUGUCAAUUAAAUAAUUAUUCUUAACAUAUGUCUGGGUCUGCCAGCCAUUUCCGUACACCUAGUUUGAAGCAGCAAGUGAACAUCCUGUUGUCCUGCAAGCUCAUAUUAUACUCACCAGUUCUAUAAAUGAUAUUUUGAGUACCACUAUUUGGCUUCAUAGACAAACACACUUUUUCAUGCUAAUAGGCAUCAUGUAGAAUAAUCCUUGGGAAAGUGACUACUUUGCUGUUCUUCCCUUAUCACAGCCUAAUUCUGUCCACUUGCUUCAUUUCUCAUGGAUAAUCUUUCCUUCUCACCAAUAUUUUGCAGGAAGGAAGAAGCUCUUCUGGAGGCUUCUUGCAAUACAUUUCCUGUUCCUUUGUUCAAAUGCUUCUUCCACUGGAAUCUGUUUUUUCUUCAUUUGGUUCCAUUCACCAGCCAGCCCUCCCUCCCUUGAAAUUUCUACAGCCACUUGUUCUACUGUGCAGAGGCAAAUUGAAAAGCAGCUUAAAGGUUAACCUUUACAAGCUUAUCGCUCCGUAAGUCUAGAAAACCUCAUAAGAAAUCCCUGCACUUCCUAAUGGUCUCAGGAACCUUAAUGGUGGUCCCUGGAUCACAACUGAGGGGCCACUGUUAUUAUAGGAUCUGCAAUGCUUUACAUAGCAUUAGUUUUCAUGUAUGGCUGCCAAGAACCUGUUCCCCCAGUAUUUUCCCCAAGCACAACAAAUAUUAUUCAUUUGGUUUUAUUUAUUAAAUUUGCAUACCGCCCUUCAUCCAAAGAUCACAAUGUGGUUCAAAACAUAAAAAUACAAAAUGAGAACACAAAGUACAUGUUAUUAUUAUAAUUUAAAAAACAAACCACCUCUCUCCCACAAACACAUUUAAAACGUGAUAGAAUGGUAAUUAUCCAAAGAUCUGGUUAUAGAGAAAUGUAUUCGCUUGGCACCUAAAGAUAGAAGAAGUUAAGAGAGACUGCCUAGGGGAACAUUCCGCAUACAGGGAGCCACUGCAGAAAUGCCCUUUCUCAUGCCCAGACCUCUCAUGAAGGAGGAACACAACGAUUGCAGGAUCCGGGCCAGACCAUAUGGGGAGAGGUGGUCCUUGAAGUAUUGCAGCCCUGAGCCAUUUAGGCCUUUAUAGGUCAAAACCAGGACUUUGAAUUGAAAUCCAGUGCAGCCAGGCUAGGAUAUGUGUACUGUGCUGGCAGUAGUAAUCUCAGUAGACCUAUUUUUAGCAAGACAUCAUACGUCCCAAGAGGCUUCUUAUUAGCUAAAUGUAAACAGCCAGUUCCUCUUUUUCCCCUCCUCCUCUUCCGCUGCUCUUUCUGCAAAAUCUGAUACAAAUGGCUUUAAAGCAGCAUCUUUGUCCUCUAGAACAAAACUGUCUUUUGAGCUCUGACAUAUUGAUCAACACGAUUUUUCAAAAAAGCUUUUAGUUUUAACAAAUGGGUUGCAGUUCAGUUGCCACCUUCAGCUUGGCAGGCCUGUCAUCUAGUUCAGAAAUACUUGCCACCUUAAGAAAGACUUGCCAUUCAGAUUCAUUUCUUUCUAUAAGUCAAUGUGUUGUAAAAUGGAACUAGGGUGUAACAAGUUACUAUAUCUAGCAAAGCAUUCAGUAAUGUUUCCACAUGACCACAGUAUGUCCUAAGGUAAAUAACAGUUCAAGUUGGCUUGAAUCAAAAUGCAAUUGAAUAGAUCAGAACAACAAUAGUAAUUAAAAAUGUUGGUCCACCCAUUCAAGGUUAGGCACCCAGCAGCAUCC